rnacentral:lncRNA from 1 species
UACAAAUUAUGCACUUUUUUUAGACCAUUUUAUUAAGCUUUUAUGUCGUCAAAUUAUUAAUUUCUAUUAAACUUGAGUUGAUUUUAGUUUGUUUUUAGUGAUGGACUCGUUUGGAGCAAAUGGAAAAGGAUGAAGAACAAAUUGGCUAGUGGAUGCAAUAUUGAAGACCAAAUUCAACACUUGAAAAAUUGAAGAGGAUGUUGAUUGCACGAUGGAGGAACUCAAGGACUACAUUGCAUUAACUUAGAAGUGGAAUGACUUGAAGAAUAAUUAUGAGGUAAUUGGAGUCUUUUUAGAGUUUUCUUUAGUCAACAAAGGCAGAGGCUAGGCUAUUCUAUAUAGAAAAACACGUACAAGCCAAGAAAUUGGAGAGAGAGUCCUUCUCUUAGUCAACUAGGGUGGCCCUAACUUUUUUUAUAUAUAAUAUAUAUAUACAUACCAACCAACCAACAGAAAAUGUAGAGAGAGUUUUUUGGGGAAAAUAAAUUUCUGCGGCAGAACGUGGAUAAUCAAUUGAGAGGGACAGCCUGCUGGGAGAAAAUUGGACCGCAGCUUUAGGGAGUAAAUUAUUGCGGCUCUAAUAAUAGCACAGGAAACGGAGGGGAGGAAAUUGUAGGUUGCCUUUUGCUGAAUUAAAUAGCUAUACGCAUAAAACAGCAGUUUUGGGGAGUUCUUGGGGAUUCAAAUUUUGACUGCCAUAAUUCAUAUACAUACAUAUAUUCCACAUGGCAGCUUUGGGAAGAAUUAAUUGGUUGCUGGAAUUACAAAAGAGAGGGACGCAGGAGACAAAAAUAAAAGAAAAGACGGCUGAAGACGGAGAUUCACGUGCCAAAACUUUAAUCACGUUCCGUCAAUAAAUCGGGUGAUGUCUUCCAUGAAUUUAUCUUGCUUUUCUUUCAUUAAUAUGUUUAGCUAAAUUUAUUUUAGGGCGAAUAAUGUAACUGAUUUGGGACCUUUAUUUCUUUUAUUUGAGAUUUUUGUUAAUUAUAUUUCUAAUGCUUUGAAUUAUUUGGCAAAUUAUUCAAUAAUUUUGUGAACAAUAAUUACGUAGAGAUGCGGAUUCUUGUUUAGACCACAUAUUAAAAUUCGGUAAAUUAAUAUAACGUGUAGAGAUACCUAUAUUAAUUGCUGCGGUCAUCUAGAAAUUCUUAGAACUGUUAUUUCGUUUAAUUAAAUUUAAUUCGCAUAGAGAUAUGGAAUUGAACUAAUUAAAUAGACUCAACGAGAACUCGAGAGGGGUAAGUUGAAUAUAAU